rnacentral:misc_RNA from 1 species
AAAAUGGUUUCUUGUGGGGCUAGAAAUAGUGCCAUUCUGACAGGUAAAUUACUUGAAAAUAUUAGAAUAUUCCAUUAGGGAUUUCAUAUCAGAUUUUUUAAAAAAAUAAAUAGAUAAAAAAUCACUUCAACAAUUCUCUAUACUAAUGAAAUAGUUUCAUCCAGUUUUAAGUUGGAAAUUAGUAUAGGCAUUCAUUCAAAGAGGCUGUCCUUAAAAGAUGUGACGCUGUAUAUCUCUUCUUCGCUUGGUAGAUGUAUUAUCCACAUGAAAAUUUAUUUAUGCUGGAAGGUGUCCUGUUAAAUUUAAACCUAAUCGGAUGAACAAAAUGGGCACCAGUUAACAAUGGUGAAAAAUUAGUUAAAGACAUGAUCAAGGUCUUUUAACUGUACUCUUUGUUUGUGAAUGUAGAGGACGGCCAGGUAUAUAGUUGGGGAUGGAACAAAUACGGCCAGGCAAGAAUGAUCCUCAAAUCCUUUUGACUAAAUUAACUCAUAAUAGAACCACAUAAUUGUCUUAAGUAAUGUGAUUUUGCUAGUGUUUUUGCCAUGCAGCUUGGUCUGGGUGAUUCAAUU